rnacentral:rRNA from 1 species
CCUACGGGUGGCUGCAGUGGGGAAUUUUCCGCAAUGGGCGCAAGCCUGACGGAGCAAGACCGCGUGGGGGAGGAAGGUUCUUGGAUUGUCAACCCCUUUUCUCAGGGAAGAAGCAAGUGACGGUACCUGAGGAAUCAGCAUCGGCUAACUCCGUGCCAGCAGCCGCGGUAAUACGGAGGAUGCAAGCGUUAUCCGGAAUGAUUGGGCGUAAAGAGUCCGUAGGUGGCUGGUCAAGUCUAUUGUCAAAGCGCGAGGCUUAACUUCGUCAAGGCCGU